CCUCAGUAACGGCGAGUGAAGCGGUAACAGCUCAAAUUUGAAAUCUGGGUCUUUCAGGCUCCGAGUUGUAAUUUGUAGAAGAUGCUUUGGGUGCGGCCCCGGUCUAAGUUCCUUGGAACAGGACGUCAUAGAGGGUGAGAAUCCCGUAUGUGAUCGGUGGCUUGCGCCCGUGUAAAGCUCUUUCGACGAGUCGGGUUGUUUGGGAAUGCAGCUCUAAACGGGUGGUAAAUUUCAUCUAAAGCUAAAUAUUGGCCAGAGACCGAUAGCGCACAAGUAGAGUGAUCGAAAGAUGAAAAGGACUUUGGAAAGAGAGUUAAACAGUACGUGAAAUUGUUGAAAGGGAAGCGCUUGCAACCAGACUUGCGCGGGGUUGAUCAUCCGGGGUUCUCCCCGGUGCACUCGGCCUCGCUCAGGCCAGCAUCGGUUUCGGUGGUUGGAUAAAGGCCUUGGGAAUGUGACUUCUUUCGGGGAGUGUUAUAGCCCUCGGUGCAAUGCAGCCUACCGGGACCGAGGACCGCGCUUCGGCUAGGAUGCUGGCGUAAUGGUUGUAAGCGACCCGUCUUGAAACACGGACCAAGGAGUCUAACAUCUAUGCGAGUGUUUGGGUGUCAAACCCAUACGCGUAAUGAAAGUGAACGGAGGUGAGAACCCUUAAGGGUGCAUCAUCGACCGAUCCUGAUGUCUUCGGAUGGAUUUGAGUAAGAGCAUAGCUGUUGGGACCCGAAAGAUGGUGAACUAUGCCUGAAUAGGGUGAAGCCAGAGGAAACUCUGGUGGAGGCUCGCAGCGGUUCUGACGUGCAAAUCGAUCGUCAAAUUUGGGCAUAGGGGCGA
rnacentral:rRNA from 1 species